rnacentral:rRNA from 1 species
CCUACGGGAGGCAGCAGUGGGGAAUAUUGGACAAUGGGGGGAACCCUGAUCCAGCGACGCCGCGUGAGUGAAGAAGUAUUUCGGUAUGUAAAGCUCUAUCAGCAGGGAAGAAAAUGACGGUACCUGACUAAGAAGCCCCGGCUAACUACGUGCCAGCAGCCGCGGUAAUACGUAGGGGGCAAGCGUUAUCCGGAUUUACUGGGUGUAAAGGGAGCGUAGACGGUGCAGCAAGUCUGAUGUGAAAGGUCGGGGCCCAACCCCGGGACUGCAUUGGAAACUGUUGAACUGGAGUGCAGGAGAGGUAAGCGGAAGUCCUGGUGUAGCGGUGAAAUGCGUAGAUAUUAGGAGGAACACCAGUGGCGAAGGCGGCUUACUGGACUGUAACUGACGUUGAGGCACGAAAGCGUGGGGAGCAAACAGGAUUAGAUACCCGUGUAGUC